UGAAAAAUGUAGAUGGCAAUAGAAUCCCCUGAGUUGUUGUUAAGAGUUGAAUGGCCAUGGAAAGCAACUUGAAUUUGCCUUUGUGUCAUCUUAUAACUUUACUUUGCAAGCCUGAGAUUCCUCUGCCUUCUCAUAGACAACCUUUGAAAGUUUGUAAUAUGGUAUGCAGUAUGCAGUAAACUAGACUGGGGGUAUAACUGCAGAGAUGUGUCACAAAGCUAGGGCAGAAAUUCACAGAUUACUGAAUGUAAUCUGUGCUGAUGUUACACCUAAUUGCUCCUUGGUCUUGGCAAGCAAUUCAGGAAGUUUCACAAAGCUGUUGAUUCCUGGCUUUUUGGUGCUGAGUUUCUUUCCCCCUGCUUUCCUGAAUCAUUAUUCCAUGAACCUCAACUAUCCCUGUACCAUUCCUAUUAUUUUAGUGGAGACUCUUUACAUUGUAGCAUGCACACUUUUGACUUUUCUUUCUUUUUGAGACAGAGUCUCACUCUCUCGCCCAGGCUGGAGUGCAGUGGCGCGAUCUCG
rnacentral:lncRNA from 10 species